ensembl:lincRNA
GGGAGUUGGGGCUUGGGGGGCGGCGGCGGCAGGACGAACGGCCGGGGUGCGCACCUGGGGCCCCCUGGCCAUGGCCGCGAAGGUGGAUCUGAACACCUGCACCGACUGGAAGGAGGCAAAAUCCUUUCUGAAAGGCCUGAGUGACAAGCAGAGGGAGGAGCAUUACUUCUGCCGGGACUUCGUGAGGCUGAAGAAGAUCCCAACGUGGAAGGAGAUGGCAAAAGGAGUAUCUGUGAAAGUGGAGGAGCCCAAGUACAAGAAGGAUAAGCAGCUGAAUGAGAAGAUCUCGCUGUUCCGCGGUGAUAUCACCAAGCUGGAGGUGGAUGCCAUUGUGAAUGCCGGUUGCUCUUGGACAAUUCCCACUGUCACUUGGAGCCAGCUGUUGGAGCUGACGGCCCCCCACCACCAAGGGGAUAAGAUCUCGCCCAGAACAGGUAUUGCUAGUUGGGGUGGGGGACCGUGCCAGUCCUUCCUGCCACCCCGCAAUGUGAAGAGGCUGAAAGUCCCUUCACCUGGAGUGAACCUGGGGUGGGAACCACAGGCCCCGUGUUGGGAGGCAUGGAUUCUGUCAGAAACCUUACAUGCGCCACCUCAUAGUAGGCACCCAAGCUGGUACUGCUGUUGCCCCACUUUACAGAUGAGUUAAUUGAGGCCCACAGAGGUCCAGUCACUUGCUAACAGUCAACUGGCCAACGGAAGAAAUUCUCUCCAGAACAAGUCCUUAGGACCCUUGAGCAGCAUCCCAGGGUGCCAACAACACAUCAGUCUGGAUGCUGAGGUAGUUGGCGUCAUUUUCCGGUGGGGAAGAAGGGCAAACCCAGCUGGAAUCCCUCUUGCACAGUCUGGGAUAGGCUCCAUCUCAGAUCAGGUCUCCGGUCUUGACUCCGGGCCAGUCUGGCUAGGUGGGGAAGAGCCUGCCAGGAGGUCCCCAGCUCCCAAGGGACAUACAGCAGGGCCACCCACUUGUCCCCACCAUGCACCAUGAUCUCUAACUCCCUGCCUCUGUCCCACCUGACUGCACAGAGACAGCUGUGCCCAGCUGGCCCCAGGGGCCUCAUCCUCCUGCACCACAGCAGCCUCUUCUUGACAACGGCCACUGCACUGGGCCUCUGCAGGCAGUCAGCUCGUUCCAGGCCUGUCUCUCUGUCCCUUGACACUGCCUUAUCAGGGCCACUUGGGGCUCUGUCCCACUCACUAACUUUGAUGUGGGUACAUCCACCUGCCAUCUUUUUGUGCACUGCUCCUCCUUGCUUGUCCAAAUACAGGGUGCCCACCUGACCUCACAGAGGAUGCUGCUAUAUCUUCCUGCCCCAGCCAAGGUCACUGGGUCUCCAGGGACAGUGGGUCCCUGCUUGGCCACCAGCUCUGAGUCUGUGGAGCUGUCCUGUAGGCCUCCCUUUGCAGCCCUGGCAGCAGGUGAUACAGUUGGGUAGCAGCAUCACCUCCCUAGAAACAAGCUGGGUGGAUCUCCCAGGAGCAUCUCUGGGAGAUCUCAAAGGAGCAAGAGGGGAGCGUAGGGAGGACACCACACGCUGAGGCCUAGCAUGAGGCUACAGCUGGGCUGGGGACUCUGACCCAGCCUUCCAAGGUCUGCAGACAACCUGACCCCUGGGGACCCCUUCCACUUAGGAACUGGACUAUUAAGGACAUUUAAUUUCUGGGUGUGGUGGCACACGUCUGUAAUCCCAUGACUCCUGAGGCUGAGGCAGGAAGAUCGCUGCAAGUUUGAAGCCAGCCUGGACUACAUAGUAAAUUCAAGACCAAUCUGAAAUAUAUAGGGGGACUCUAGUUGACAUAUGCAAAUACAUCUUACAUUGCAGCCCCCACCCACCCCCAGCUAACAUCUGAGAGGUGGGUACAGGCAAGCAACCCCAUUUUAGCAAGGGAAACUGAGGCACAGAGAGGUAAAGGGAGUUGAAACCACUAAAUUGUAGAGUGUGGACACACAGACUCAGGUCUCAUGAAGUCAGCACAGGGUACCCCUGCCAAGGGGGCGUGUGCUGCCCAAACUCUGCAGGGAGGUUUUUAAAAACAAUAUAUCCCAUCUCCGUGUCUGUAUGAGAACUCAGGAGGGGGUGUGCCAACAUGAUCCCCUACCCCCACAUCCUGUCUGCCUUUCUCUACCUGUCCAUGGCUGAUCCCUCAGCCAGACGUUAACAGCCCUUCAGCUCUCCGGACCCCUCAGACCUCCCCGGGACCCUCACUGCAAAUCCAGCUCUGUCCCCUCCCAGGCUUUGGCCCUGGCAGCUCAGACCAUUUCCAUUUUAAACCUUCUGAGGAAGCCCUGAACUGUCACCCACAGAGCAGCACCAGCUGACAGGUGAUGUUUGCGCCUCUCCUCCUGGGGCUGGCAGGAGAGCCAGAGUUGGCUUUCAACUCCAGAAACCUGAGCCCUGAGCCCCUCAUUGCGGAGCCUCUCCCUGAGACCAGGGCAGCCAGGUCCUCCUCUCCACCAUCAGCACCCUGGGUUGUGGCCAGGCCGUAUCCCACACACAGGCAGCCCUCCCCCAACUCCUAAGCCACAUGGGGAGGGGCCAGGAUAGGGCUGGUUCCCACCCCUGUGGGUGCAGGGGCCCCUACCUCAGCCCCUCCACCCACCUUGGCUUCAUGUAUUCCCAACAGAGCCUUGGCUUGGACCUUGGCGGGGCCUGGCACACCCCAGCUAGGCUUCCCUCUCUCAAAGCCACACACCCUAGAGAGCCCCGACGCCCUCCCGGGCCAGUGGGGAGCCUGGGGCAGCUCCCUGGUGUCACCGCUUCACAACUUUCUUCUCCUCGGAGAGCUCAGAUCAGCCACCGUUCCGCAGCCCGGCAACAGCUCCCCAGCCUUCUGCCCCUGGGCCUCUGGUCCCCGGUGGAGGAGGGGGUGCGCCCAGUCUGUUGCUUCCUUGCUUGGAGAGCUGAGGUGUGCGCCGCCCCCAGCCUGGUAGCCCCACCGUUCCAGCCGCCAGGUGCACGGCCAACCCCCGCCGGCGCGGUCUGACAGUCCAUAGCGCGCAGGGAGGGAAGUUGGAGGCUGCCUAUGCCCCCCUUGAAGUCGUUUUAAAAAUAAAACCUCGCUCUAACCGUGACUCACGCGGCUGGCGGGGACCAGAGCGCGGCGCCCCGGCCAGCCUGCCG